AUGACCUCCCAAAGGCCCCGCGGGGACUCUGCACUUCAACGUAGGGGUUUUACCGGGCACACAAACAUUCAGCCUAUAACAGAAGGAGACAGGGAAGACUGGGAGAGAGGGCAGGAUCAGAACACAGGAAACAGAAGCUCUCCUGAGACUGAAGAGUGGCUCACAUCCCCGAGGCCAGGCCCAGGGCACAGCAGAGGCACGCAGCGGAGCCAGCCUGCGGGGCACUCACAGAAAACUGGCCUCAACCACGAUCGCGCCUUCCCACGCCGCUGGUGUCACAGACGACCCUACUUCCCCAUUUCAGUUUUAAACUUGUGGGGAAGUACUGCGAGGUGUCUGACAGCGGUGGUCUCACGGGGGGCUCCUGCACCGAGAACCAGGGCUGCAACAAAGGCAGGACCGAAGAAGGCCGGUGCAACUUCCAGGCAGGUGCAGCACGCCGCCAUCCCAGUAGCCCCACUGUCACCGCCGCAGCAGUCCAACCACACCGGGCAAACGGCUGCUCCCGGGCGAGUUCCCCAGCGCCUCCCUGGAAACACAGAGCUGGCAUUCGGCACCGACAAAGUGAACCCUGCUGCUCCUGAGCCCUCUGAGGGAGGGCGACAGGGAGAGAAGAAAAACUACCAGCCGGAGCUAAGGGCGAAGUCUUGGCCUAGACCCCAUCUCUGGUGCUGUGUGACCUGCUGUGCACCUGACCUUGAACAAAGGACUCCACGUCCCAGCGCCUCAGUCUCCGCCUCCAGGAAACGAGGGCAGCGCGGGCAGCGUCACAGGACUUUUGUAGACUGUGAGAUUGUAAACACAGCGCUCAGCAAAGACUGUCAGGGUCUUCACUGUGUCCCAGUGCAACGGCACAGCAAAUGCUUCUCUCAGGAUCACUACGAGGGCGGCACCGGGUCACCCCCCUCCUCAUCAGCGGCCAGCUCUGGGACUCAGCCAUUAAUACAGCAGGGAAUUCCGCCUAGGAACUGUUCUGAUUUUUAUCUGAAAUCCAGAGAGAUGAGACCAGGGAAGAGGGAAUCAAAGGACACAACGAGAAACAAGAGAAGCAGAAGCAGCAGGCAGUGA
rnacentral:lncRNA from 1 species